UACGUAGGUGGCAAGCGUUGUCCGGAAUUAUUGGGCGUAAAGCGCGCGCAGGCGGCCUUUUAAGUCUGAUGUGAAAGCCCACGGCUCAACCGUGGAGGGUCAUUGGAAACUGGGGGACUUGAGUGCAGGAGAGAAGAGUGGAAUUCCACGUGUAGGCGGUGAAAUGCGCAGAUAUCGGGAGGAACACCCGUAGCGAAGGCGGCACUCUGGGCCGUGACUGACGCGAGGAGC
rnacentral:rRNA from 1 species